CCUACGGGUGGCAGCAGUGAGGAAUAUUGGUCAAUGGACGAGAGUCUGAACCAGCCAAGUAGCGUGAAGGAUGACUGCCCUAUGGGUUGUAAACUUCUUUUAUAUGGGAAUAAAACGUUCCACGUGUGGGCUUUUGUAUGUACCAUAUGAAUAAGGAUCGGCUAACUCCGUGCCAGCAGCCGCGGUAAUACGGAGGAUCCGAGCGCUAUCCGGAUUUAUUGGGUUUAAAGGGAGCGUAGGUGGAUUGUUAAGUCAGUUGUGAAAGUUUGCGGCUCAACCGUAAAAUUGCAGUUGAAACUGGCAGUCUUGAGUACAGUAGAGGUAGGCGGAAUUCGUGGUGUAGCGGUGAAAUGCUUAGAUAUCACGAAGAACUCCGAUUGCGAAGGCAGCUCACUGGACUGCAACUGACACUGAGGCUCGAAAGUGUGGGUAUCAAACAGGAUUAGAUACCCUUGUAGUC
rnacentral:rRNA from 1 species